rnacentral:rRNA from 1 species
AUGCCUCAGGUGAUGGUGGUCGCGCGGAACUUCAUGGACAUGGUGGCCGCACUGCCUGCCGCCAAACUAGACAUGCUCUACGAUUCCGCCUUCAUCUGUGAGGCUGUACUCAGGUCGUUCCCACCGCUGGCAAAGAAGUACGUGAUUCAGAUGUUGUACGUGUCGGCACCGAUGCUUGCUGCGGCUAUGCAGGAGUGGGUGCUGGAUGAGUAUGCCUCCAAGCACAAGGUUGCCAUCGAUAGGUUGCUCCAACUCAGGGUAUUUGUGGAAGUACGUGACAGAAGGAAGGAGGUGAGCUACAAGAUGAAUAAUAAGUUUCAGGCUAACAUGCAAAAGUAUUUGGUUAGUGGCGGGUGUUUGCCAAGGGAACCGCUACCAUUCAGUGUCACUGGCAGAUUGCCUACACUGGUGGAACUAGAAAAUUAUGCUCUUGAUCAAUGGGAGUGCUUCUUGCUGCAAUUGAUCAACUCGUCUCAAGUUGAGAAAGGGACCACUUUCAGCUCGUCUAUGAUGAAGACGUUCCAGCGAGGUCUUCUGAGUUCAAGGGAUGGUGAAGCUGCAAAGUUAAGUGAGAAUGGCUUCCAGUUUCUGCUGAUGGAGACAAAUGCACAGCUUUGGUAUAUAAUGAGAGAAUACAUUUCAUCCGCAGAGGAACGCGGGGUGGAUCCCACGGACUUGAUAUCAUUUCUCUUGGAGCUUAGUUUUCAUACACAAGGAGCGGCUUACAGCCUAAGUACUCUGACAGAAGUCCAAAGAGUUGCAAUUAUGGAUCUGAUGGAGCUCGGGUUAGUCAAACUGCAGCAGGGCCGGAAAGAUAGCUGGUUCAUACCUACAAAAUUGGCUACAAAUCUCUCAUCGAGCUUGUCAGAUUCAGCUGCUAGCAAAGAGGGUAUUGUGGUUGUGGAGACAAACUUUAGGUUGUAUGCGUACUCUGCUUCCAAGCUGCACUGUGAAAUUCUACGUCUUUUUUCAAGGGUAGAGUAUCAACUACCAAACCUUAUUGUGGGAGCUAUUACAAAAGAAAGUCUGUAUGGUGCAUUUGAUAACGGGAUCACCGCUGAACAGAUAAUUUCAUUCCUUCAGCAAAAUGCCCACCCUCGUGUCAUCGACAAAAUACCGAUAGUCCCAGAGAAUGUUACAGAUCAGAUUAGGCUGUGGGAGAACGACCGUAACAGGGUCGAGAUGGUCCUGUCACACGUAUACGAAGAUUUCCCGAGCAAGACAUGUUUGAGCAAUGCUGUGACCACGCAAGGGAUAACGGGUACUUGCUGUGGGAGGACGCGAAGAAGAUGCGAUUGA